UACGGAGGUGGCAAGCGUUGCUCGGAAUCACUGGGCGUAAAGGGCGCGUAGGCGGGGAGGUAAGUCGGGUGUGAAAGCCCUGGGCUCAACCCAGGAAGUGCACUCGAAACUGGCAGGCUAGAGUACUGGAGAGGUUGGUGGAAUUCUCGGUGUAGAGGUGAAAUUCGUAGAUAUCGAGAGGAACACCGGUGGCGAAGGCGGCCAACUGGACAGAUACUGACGCUGAGACACGAAAGCGUGGGGAGCAAACAGG
rnacentral:rRNA from 1 species